rnacentral:rRNA from 1 species
UACGUAGGGUGCGAGCUUUGUCCGGAAUUAUUGGGCGUAAAGAGCUUGUAGGUGGCUCGUUGCGUCGGGAGUGAAAACCCGCGGCUUAACCGCGGGCCUGCUUCCGAUACGGGCGAGCUAGAGUUCGGCAGGGGAGACUGGAAUUCCUGGUGUAGCGGUGGAAUGCGCAGAUAUCAGGAGGAACACCGGUGGCGAAGGCGGGUCUCUGGGCCGAUACUGACACUGAGAAGCGAAAGCGUGGGGAGCGAACAG